rnacentral:rRNA from 1 species
AAUAGAUACCCCGGUAGUCCACGCCGUAAACGAUGAGUGCUAAGUGUUAGAGGGUUUCCGCCCUUUAGUGCUGCAGCUAACGCAUUAAGCACUCCGCCUGGGGGAGUACGGCCGCAAGGCUGAAACUCAAAGGAAUUGACGGGGGGCCCGCACAAGCGGUGGAGCAUGUGGUUUAAUUCGAAGCAACGCGAAGAACCUUACCAGGUCUUGACAUCCUCUGAUCUCCCUGGAGACAGGGCCUUCCCCUUCGGGGGACAGAGUGACGGGUGGUGCAUGGUUGUCGUCAGCUCGUGUCGUGAGGUGUUGGGUUAAGUCCCGCAACGAGCGCAACCCUUGACCUUAGUUGCCAGCAUUGAGUUGGGCACUCUAAGGUGACUGCCGGUGACAAACCGGAGGAAGGUGGGGGAUGACGUCAAAUCAUCAUGCCCCUUAUGACCUGGGCUACACACGUGCUACAAUGGAUGGUACAAAGGGCUGCGAGACCGCGAGGUUAAGCCAAUCCCAGAAAACCCAUUCCCAGUUCGGAUUGCAGGCUGCACCCG